UACGUAGGGCGCAAGCGUUGUCCGGAAUUAUUGGGCGUAAAGAGCUCGUAGGCGGUCUGUCGCGUCGGCUGUGAAAACUCGGGGCUCAACCCCGAGCCUGCAGUCGAUACGGGCAGACUAGAGUGCUGUAGGGGAGACUGGAAUUCCUGGUGUAGCGGUGAAAUGCGCAGAUAUCAGGAGGAACACCUAUAGCGAAGGCAGCUCGCUGGUACGACACUGACGCUAAGGCGCGAAAGCGUGGGGAGCGAACAGG
rnacentral:rRNA from 1 species